ensembl:lncRNA
GCUGGUCCUCUGACUGGGGCUGGUAAUGCUCAUAGAGGAUCUUCCUUUCCCCUCCCUGCUCUGAGUGUUCUCUUGCAAGUGUUAUGAAAUGCAAGUGCAACAGCACUGUGCGGGUGAAACCUGGAAAGCACAACUCCCCUAGAAGCUGGCUGCCAGUGAAGCAUCCCAGCCUUGUUUGUUCUCAGGACAAAUGCUGUCUCAAGGAGUGUGCUGGUGUGCCCUGCUUCGUAUAGGGAGGUUCCUCUCCCCUUAUGGCAGUCGCAUAGACAGCCCGUUCCAUGCCCACCACCCUCUGGUGCAGCCCCUGUCCCUAACCCCCAGCUGCCCCUCCCCUGACACAGCUCCAUGCUGUUCCCUGUCGCUGUCGCACAGAGCAGAGCUCAGCGCUGCCCCUCCUCUCCCUGUGAGGAGCUGUAAGCCACAGAUGGAAGGGAGAUGGCCUAAAGAAGGAGCAGGGCUGCCCUUUGCUAUGGAUGCAGCAGGAUGGUGCUAAACCAGCAACCUGGAUGUGGGAAUGGCUGGCUCUCCACCUGCCUUCCAGUCAAAGCUCUCCCCUGGAAGCAGAUGCUGUCUCCAGUCCGGGAAGUGCUCUGCGCUCAUACUUUGCCUCUCUUGAAAGCCUCAUGGCCCUGCCUGCACAGUUGCUGGUUUCAGCAAGGCUCUUUGAAGUCCAUCAAAGCAGUCUUUAAUGCAGCGUGACCGACUUAAAGGCUUUUUUCUUUUUCAUCAGCUUCACGAGGAAUAAAGCACAUCUGAUGCAGGACACAGCAGUGCUUUCUCUUGUGCUGGAGGAUGGGUGCUCAGGCAGGACAGAGUGCCAGAGGAACAACAUCUCUGCUCUGACUCCUUCUGACAGGACUGAUGGAGCUGGUGAAUUUUCUGGCGAAUUAAAUUCCAUGAGAGCUUCUGCCUGGAAGCCAUCAUCCUGCCUCUGUACUUGCCUCCAUUCAGUAAGGAUCCGUGAUGUUCUUGGAGAUCUCCUGCAGAGCUUUCCCCCGUGUGGCAGAAAUUACCCUGUCCACCAUCUGAGAGAACUCUGGUACCUCCCAUAGUCACACAGAGCACUUGGAGGUGCCCUGCCCCUCUCAUAGUUACCUGAAUGCCCCCCAUCAGCUCCAUCACAGCCUUGACUGAGCUGGCUGCUGUGUUGCACCCUGUGCGUGUUUUGUAAUUAAGUCACUAGGCGAGAGGGUAGGUUUCUGUCUGGGUAUAUUUUUUGUUUGUGUUUUAAUUAUUUUAUUUUAUUUUAUUUUGAGCCAAGUUCUAAAGUCCACGCUUAGGGCCUCACAUGCUCAGAUUUCCUUUAACUCUUGAUAGGGGGAAAGAACUGAGUCGCGACCUUAUGGUCUGAACGUGAGCAAACAAUCUGUUACAGUGAACACACGCAGAGGAAAAGAACAGCGAUGAUUCGAGGCAGCAGGAUCCUCAUUGACUUGAGAUCAUCAUUUUCUUGAAGGCAGGGGGUAAUGGCUGGCUGUCACCCACACGAUUAUAUCCUCACGCUGUUCCUGGACUGACCUGAAAUGAAACCUCCAAUGCCAGCAGGGAUAAAUCCCAGGGUAGGGGAGGCUGGGAUGUCUGUGCCCCACCAGCCUUUCUGUGCCCGUGCUGCCAACCUGGAAGAGGGGAAGGCCAGAGCCUGCCAGUGCACUGACCAGAAGCAUUAUCCAUCCCCCUUGGCAGAUGUGUGAGCAGCCACCAGCAGGGACCUCUGCCUCUCUACAAGCACAGGGAGUGCAGCCCAGCAUCCAGAUAUAGAACUCUGUUUUGGGUGAAUGGGUAACACUGCUGUGCAACUCCAGUUAUGAGACCAAUUCUCAUCCCCAUGCACUUCCCUUCAUUUACAACCCCCAGUAUCGUAGAACCACAGAACGGUUUGGGUUGGAGGGGAGCUCCAAAAGAGAAAUACAAAAGGGAAAGAGAAAUACAGUACCUUAAUGCACACACAUAACUAGUGAGAGAAUUUAUCAAACCUCCUAGAUAGAAAGUUUCACGCAGGCCGCUUGUGAGCAGUGAAUGAGUCUCUGCAGAGGUAAAGGCGCUGUAGGUCUUUUAUGAUAAGGCUGGUUUCUGCCUUUCAAAAGAAUGCCAAAUCCGAAGAGCAGCAGAUAUUCUCUGUGUGGCCUGUGGGGUCAACAGCCGCAGAAAUAACCACAUCAUUUAAUUUUCCUACUCUGUUCCCAUUAUUUUUCCACUUGUAUGAUACAUUCUUGGUAAGUAUGUAGCAUAAAUAUAUAGAGAGAAGGUAGAGUUCCCUCAGCCUAAGUGGUAAAACACGCAGAACAAAGAGGGAAGUGGGAUUUGAAAUGCAGUCAGCCAAUGUGAAAUAUUUGAAGCGCCGGCUGUGUGGUGGCUGAAGGAAAACCACUGGAGCAGGAGGGCAAUCCAGACAGUGAGUUUUGAAAGUGGCUGCAGAACAGGCCGUGGUCUAACAAAAGGAUCUCCCCCAUCCUUACAUUAACACGCUUCUCAAAGCUCGGGGAAUCGGAGGAUAUUUUCUCUCCAAACUCCCUCAGCAUGGUUUGCCCUCUGCCAGUGACCCAACCUACAGCUAAGCUGUUUGCAACGGGAUGUGGAUUGCUUUCUGAUUGCUUAACUUUGGCAUGUUCCAUGAGCAUGCUGAGACUCUCACCCUUUGCAACAAAACCCCCUUUUGAAAGCACAUCAAAAGACUGAGUCCGGAUUUGUGAGAGAUACGGGAAAUUGCUGAGGAAAAUAUUUUACCAAGAGGAAAGCAGACAAACGCCUGGCAGGCAAGCGGUAGUUUUGUUCCUGAAGAGGGAUGUAAGUCUGGGAUUUAGGAGAGCUGAGCAGAACUGGAAGAAAUGUACAAGCUUCAAGGGGUACGACAGACGCUAAAUUAUAGUGGUUUGCUCAAAAAUAACCUUGCACUUCAUAGACAAAAAGCGUGCCACGGAAGUAUUUGAGAGCCUGAGGAUAAGUCCUUGAAGAUCCAUCAGACAAACCCACUGUGGCAUGUGGCUCAGCGGGCAGAAGGGGACUGUAAGAAAAAAGGGAACAAACUCUUUAGCAGGGUCUGUUGUGCCAGGACGAGGGGAAAUGGUUUCCAACCAAAAGAGAGGAGAUUUAGACAGGAUAUGAGGAAUGAGUGUUCUACAAAAAAAGUGGUGAGGCACUGGAAUAGGUUGCCCAGAGAGGCGGUGGAUGCUCCAUCCCUGGAGACACUCAAGGUCAGGCUGGAUGGGGCUCUGAGCAUCCUUAACUGCUUGUAGGUGUCCCUGUUCAUUGCAGAGGAGUUGGACUGGAU